rnacentral:miRNA from 1 species
UGGUGGGAGGUGGGCAGGGCAGGGAUGAAGACCAAAUCCUCCUUGCAGGGUACCUCCCUACC